rnacentral:rRNA from 1 species
GAUGAACGCUGGCGGCGUGCCUAAUACAUGCAAGUCGAGCGAACGGACGAGAAGCUUGCUUCUCUGAUGUUAGCGGCGGACGGGUGAGUAACACGUGGAUAACCUACCUAUAAGACUGGGAUAACUUCGGGAAACCGGAGCUAAUACCGGAUAAUAUUUUGAACCGCAUGGUUCAAAAGUGAAAGACGGUCUUGCUGUCACUUAUAGAUGGAUCCGCGCUGCAUUAGCUAGUUGGUAAGGUAACGGCUUACCAAGGCAACGAUGCAUAGCCGACCUGAGAGGGUGAUAGGCCACACGGGAGCUGGGACACGGUCCAGACUCCUAAGGGAGGCAGCAGUAGGGAAUCGGCCGCAGUGGGCGAAAGCCUGACGGAGCAACGCCGCGUGAGAGAUGAAGGUCUUCGGAUCGUAAAACUCGGUUAUUAGGGAAGAACAGAUGUGUAAGUAACUGUGCACAGCUUGACGGUACCUAAUCAGAAAGCCACGGCUAACUACGUG